GUUGCCUUUUAGGAUUUUGUUAUUUAUUCUAGAUCGCAAAUCGCAUAUAAUUUAUUUAUUGGACUUUUUCGUUGAAGAUUUCAUUGAUGUUCUCUUUUCUUGCAUGAAAUGAUUUGAGUUCCUGUUCAAGCAAGUUUAAGACCGGGAACAAGCGAAUACUGAGAAGCGUAGGAUCAAGCAACACUAAUGAAAUUUAAUAAUGAAGACCACACCGAGGGACGUAUGUACUUAUGAACUUGGACAAACUUGGAAGUUAUAUGAAAUAUUUUAAAAUGAAUUCUAUGCUGCUUCAAUACAUGUUGAAUAAAACAA